UACGUAGGGUGCGAGCGUUGUCCGGAUUUACUGGGCGUAAAGGAUGCGUAGGUGGAUAUUUAAGUGGGAUGUGAAAUACCCGAGCUCAACUUGGGUGCUGCAUUCCAAACUGGAUAUCUAGAGUGCAGGAGAGGUAAGUGGAAUUCCUAGUGUAGCGGUGAAAUGCGUAGAGAUUAGGAAGAACACCAGUGGCGAAGGCGACUUACUGGACUGUAACUGACACUGAGGCAUGAAAGCGUGGGGAGCAAACAGG
rnacentral:rRNA from 1 species